CCUACGGCUGGCUGCAGUGGGGAAUAUUGGACAAUGGGGGCAACCCUGAUCCAGCCAUGCCGCGUGUGUGAAGAAGGCCCUCGGGUUGUAAAGCACUUUCAGUGAGGAAGAACGCCUGGUGGUUAAUACCCAUCAGGAAAGACAUCACUCACAGAAGAAGCACCGGCUAACUCCGUGCCAGCAGCCGCGGUAAUACGGAGGGUGCGAGCGUUAAUCGGAAUUACUGGGCGUAAAGCGCGCGUGGGUGGCUUGAUAAGCCGGUUGUGAAAGCCCCGGGCUCAACCUGGGAACGGCAUCCGGAACUGUCAAGCUAGAGUGCAGGAGAGGAAGGUAGAAUUCCCGGUGUAGCGGUGAAAUGCGUAGAGAUCGGGAGGAAUACCAGUGGCGAAGGCGGCCUUCUGGACUGACACUGACACUGAGGUGCGAAAGCGUGGGUAGCAAACAGGAUUAGAUACCCUGGUAGUC
rnacentral:rRNA from 1 species